CAAGGGGCCAGAUACUUCUUCUAAGCGAGAGGUAGCUGUGAGAGAAGUGAGAAGAGGAUGCUGAAGGUGGGGGAAAGAAUUGCAGAAGUGAAAGGAAGAGUCCUGGAGAGUGGGACUGAGGGGGAAUGGCACUGUGAAGAGGGAAAGUCCCAGAGAAAGAGCCCCUUCUCUUUCCACAAACCUGCUCGCCCUCCCCCACCUCCCCCUGGCUCACAGCCUCUCAUAAAGGGAGUGCUUCCCUGGGCUGCUGAGUGUGAUCACACUUAAUUUCAAAUAGCAAAGUCCAUUUCGAGCCGUAUUUUCACACUGGCGGGAUGAAUGUGAAUAAUAGCCACAUUGAGGCUGGUUCUGAAAUGGCUCGCCCAGCUGACACGAAUGUGAAGUUUUCCAGUCGAGAAUGUGUUUAAUGGUUCAGAAACCACUUUUUGCUGACCCUCAAGUCACCUCCUGAGUUUUGUCAAGAGCUUCUUUUUGAGAAAGGAUUAUUAUCUCCAGUUGUUGUCUCCUGGGUGCAACUCUUUCUCUCUCUGCUUGGAUAUUUCACUUCAGCCUGUGUAACAGAACACUGAACAUGAUGGGGCUGGAAGAUUGCAUGUCGAAGACUCCUUUGCAGAUUUUCCUCCUUGUGUUGGCUUCGGAUCCCAAGAACCCUGUUUAACAAAGCAGUGGAAAAUGUUGCUUAGGAAUUCCAGAUCCCAAGAGAGUGGGCAACUCCCUCAUCAGAGGUGGAUUAUGUUGGUGUACUGCCUCAAUGGAAGACUUUUUGGGAACCCGGUACACAUAAGUGUACUACUGUGACAGUGACUUCAUCAAGCAGAGCUUCGGUGGUCAUGCAGGUAAAAACGGUUUUCUUUCUUUUUGUUUGUUUUUUUGUUUUUGUCUUAAAGUACCAGGCAAAUUUUCCUAAUGCUGUCAUGUUUAUGGCAGAAUCCAUGCAGCUUUGGCUGCUCAGCAACAGAACCUCCAACUCU
rnacentral:lncRNA from 1 species